rnacentral:rRNA from 1 species
UACUCCUACGGGAGGCAGCAGUGGGGAAUAUUGGACAAUGGGCGAAAGCCUGAUCCAGCCAUGCCGCGUGUGUGAAGAAGGUCUUCGGAUUGUAAAGCACUUUAAGUUGGGAGGAAGGGCAGUUACGUUAAUACGUGAUUGUUUUGACGUUACCGACAGAAUAAGCACCGGCUAACUCUGUGCCAGCAGCCGCGGUAAUAC